GGAAUAUUGCGCAAUGGACGAAAGUCUGACGCAGCAACGCCGCGUGCAGGAUGACGGCCCUCCGGGUUGUAAACUGCUGUAGCAGGGGAAUAACGAUCCGCCUUUGGUGGAUGUGAAGGUACCCUGAAAGUAAGCUCCGGCUAACUACGUGCCAGCAGCCGCGGUAAUACGUAGGGAGCAAGCGUUGUCCGGAUUCACUGGGUGUAAAGGGUGCGCAGGCGGGUUGGUAAGUCAGAGGUGAAAUCUUACGGCUCAACCGUGAAAUUGCCUUUGAUACUGCUAACCUUGAGUUCGGGAGAGGUCGAUGGAAUUCCAGGUGUAGCGGUGGAAUGCGUAGAUAUCUGGAAGAACACCAGUAGCGAAGGCGGUCGACUGGCCCGUAACUGACGCUCAGGCACGAAAGCGUGGGGAGCAAACAGGAUUAGAAACCCCAGUAGUCC
rnacentral:rRNA from 1 species